rnacentral:rRNA from 1 species
GGGGACCUUCGGGCCUUGCGCUAUCAGAUGAGCCUAGGUCGGAUUAGCUAGUUGGUGAGUUUAUGCCUCACCAAGGCGACGAUCCGUAACUGGUCUGAGAGGAUGAUCAGUCACACUGGAACUGAGACACGGUCCAGACUCCUACGGGAGGCAGCAGUGGGGAAUAUUGGACAAUGGGCGAAAGCCUGAUCCAGCCAUGCCGCGUGUGUGAAGAAGGUCUUCGGAUUGUAAAGCACUUUAAGUUGGGAGGAAGGGUUGUAGAUUAAUACUCUGCAAUUUUGACGUUACCGACAGAAUAAGCACCGGCUAACUCUGUGCCAGCAGCCGCGGUAAUACAKAGGGUGCAAGCGUUAAUCGGAAUUACUGGGCGUAAAGCGCGCGUAGGUGGUUUGUUAAGUUGGAUGUGAAAUCCCCGGGCUCAACCUGGGAACUGCAUUGAAAACUGGCUGAACUAGAGUGUGGAAGAGGGUGGUGGAAUUCCUGUGUAGCGGUGAAAUGCGUAGAGAUGUGGAGGAACACCAGUGGCGAAGGCGGCUUUUUGGUCUGUAACUGACGCUGAGGCGCGAAAGCGUGGGGAGCAAACAGGAUUAGAUACCCUGGUAGUCCACGCCGUAAACGAUGAGUGCUAAGUGUUAGAGGGUUUCCGCCCUUUUAGUGGCGCAGCUAACGCAUUAAGCACUCCGCCUGGGGAGUACGGUCGCAAGACUGAAACUCAAAGGAAUUGACGGGGGCCCGCACAAGCGGUGGAGCAUGUGGUUUAAUUCGAAGCAACGCGAAGAACCUUACCAGGUCUUGACAUCC